rnacentral:rRNA from 1 species
CCUACGGGGUGCAGCAGUGAGGAAUAUUGGUCAAUGGACGCAAGUCUGAACCAGCCAUGCCGCGUGCAGGAAGACGGCUCUAUGAGUUGUAAACUGCUUUUGUACGAGGGUAAACGCAGAUACGCGUAUCUGUCUGAAAGUACCGUACGAAUAAGGAUCGGCUAACUCCGUGCCAGCAGCCGCGGUAAUACGGAGGAUUCAAGCGUUAUCCGGAUUUAUUGGGUUUAAAGGGUGCGUAGGCGGUCGGAUAAGUUAGAGGUGAAAUCCCGAGGCUCAACUUCGGAAUUGCCUCUGAUACUGUUAGGCUAGAGAGUAGUUGCGGUAGGCGGAAUGUAUGGUGUAGCGGUGAAAUGCUUAGAGAUCAUGCAGAACACCGAUUGCGAAGGCAGCUUACCAAGCUACUUCUGACGUUGAGGCACGAAAGCGUGGGGAGCAAACAGGAUUAGAUACCCCAGUAGUC